AUGGAAAAUUUUGAUGCAUCACUUAGUCCCUAUUUCAAAGCAUUGCUAGGUACCUGAGAUACCAGAAUAAAAGGAUGGUUUCUUCUGGACAAUUACAUACCUACAUUUAUCAGUUCCCUCAUAUAUUUACUAAUUGUAUGGCUGGAACCAAAAUGCAUGAAGAAUAGACAGCCGUUCUCUUGCCGGGGUAUUUUAGUGGUGUAUAACCUUGGACUCACGCUGCUGUCUCUCUUUAUGUUCUGUGAGUUAGUAACAGGAGUAUGGGAAGGCAGAUACAACUUCUUCUGUCAGGGAACACGCAGCGCAGGAGAAUCAGAUACGAAGAUCAUCCGUGUCCACUGGUGAUACUACUUCUCCAAACUGAUUGAAUUUAUGGACAUCUUCUUCUUCAUCCUGCAUAAGAACAACCACCAGAUCACAGUGCUGCACGUCUACCACCGUGCCUCCAUGCUAAACAUCUGGUGGUUUGUGAUGAACUGGGUCCCCUGUGGCCACUCUUAUUUUGGUGCCACCCUGAACAGCUUCAUCCACGUCCUCAUGUACUCUUACUGCCUGUCUUCAGUCCCUUCCAUGUGCCCGUACCUGUGGUGGAAGAAGUACAUCACUCAGGGGCAGCUGCUUCAGUUUGUGCUGACAAUCGUCCAGACCAGCUGUGGGGUCAUCUGGCCAUGCACAUUCCCUCUCGGUUGGUUGUAUUUCCAGAUCGGAUACAUGAUUUCCCUGAUUGCUCUCUUCACAAACUUCUAUAUUCAGACCUACAAUAGGAAGGGGGCCUCCUGGAGGAAAGACCACCUGAAGGACCACCAGAACGGGUCCAUGGCUGCUGCGAAUGGACACACCAACAGCUUUCCUUACCUGGAAAACAAUGUGAAGCCAAGGAAGCCGAGGAAGGAUUGAAAUCCAAGAGUUGAAAACCUCCAAACCACGUCAUCUGAUUGUAAGCACAAUAUGAGUUGUGCCCGAUGCUCGUUAACAGCUGCUGUAACUAGUCCAGCCUACACUAGUGUGACUCAUGUAGGACCCCUUUCAUCAGUUCAAAACCCUU